UCGUAACAAGGUUUCCGUAGGUGAACCUGCGGAAGGAUCAUUCACAAGAUUAUAAUAUUUUAUUACUUUGUGGAAAAUUUGGUUGAAUUUACAUGUUUUAUUACAAAAAAUUAAUUAUAAUUAAAAAAAUAAUUUUAAGAAAACCUCCAACAACGGAUCUCUUGGUUCCCAGAUCGAUGAAGAGCGCAGCGAAUUGCGAAAUGUGAUGUGUAUUGCAGUGAAUCAUCAAUUCUUGAACGCACAUGGCACCCCUUUUAGGGGUAUGCUUGUAUGAGGGUGUUUAAUAUGAAAUUGCUUUGGCUUUUUUUAAAUAAAUGGUUUUUCAAACAUUGUUACUAAUAAAGAUGAAAGAAUCAGUGCAACAAGCUGUGUUGAAUCUUUCAAUUAAAAUCUUUUUUAGUUAACAUUUUUUAACUAUUUACGCCUCAUAUCAAGCAAGACUACCCGCUGAACUUAAGCAUAUCAAUAA
rnacentral:misc_RNA from 1 species